rnacentral:lncRNA from 1 species
GCCCAGACCAGCAAGAGGCAGUGAAGGCCUUGUGAUGCCCUUGCUGAUCUUUUUGUCUAAGGUCAUCUGCAGAGAGCUACAGAAAACUGUUUGUAAAGUCUAGAUUUUGACCCUAUCCCCACUUCAAGCUACUUCACAUUUGGGCUGUAGAACCUUGAUUAAAGUCGUGCUGUCAUUUAUUUGACUGACAGCAGAGGCUCAGAGUUAAGGAGCUUGAGAUGAAAAGGGUUUGUAUUGAUUGACACUCGCCAACUAGUUGACUAAUAAUGGACUAAUGCUGUGUUCGACAUUGAGUGUGACUUUAUGUAAACAGAACUCUACUCAUAUGAUACCUACUACUUUGUGGUGAUGUACCAGCAGACUCUGGGCAGAUUCUGGGCCAUUGGAGUGGGGCUUCUCAGUCUCCUGAGUUGCAUGAAAGUGGGAUGUCCUCUUCUCCAGUGACCUGUUAGUACAGCUAUAACAAUACCACCACCACCACUACCAAUAACAAAAACAAAAAGACUAAGACAGGGACUUGUCUCUUCCCACUGCCCACAGGCAUCCUAUUUUAAUUUUCCCAUCACUUCUUUCUUCCACAUUUCUCUAUAAUUUAUAGCUUAUGUACAAAUUGUAGGACAUAUGUAGCUAAAUAUUGGAUAAUUGUAGUAGGAAAUAAAUGACAGCUUUUUAAUAUUUAAGUUAGAGAAAUUUUCAAAAAUAAGUAUUCUGAUAAAUCUUUCAGAUGUCCUCUUCUCAAAAAAACAAAACAAAAUAAACAAACAAACCACAAACC